UACAGAGGGUGCAAGCGUUGUUCGGAAUUAUUGGGCGUAAAGGGCGCGUAGGCGGUUCGGCAAGUCUCUAGUGAAAUCUCAGGGCUCAACUCUGAGUCUGCUGGGAAACUGCCGGGCUUGAGUGUGGGAGAGGAGAGUGGAAUUCCCGGUGUAGCGGUGAAAUGCGUAGAUAUCAGGAGGAACACCGGUGGCGAAGGCGGAUCUCUGGGCCUUACCUGACGCUCGAGGCGCGAAAGCCUAGGGGAGCGAACAGG
rnacentral:rRNA from 1 species